GACGAACGCUGGCGGCGUGCCUAAUACAUGCAAGUCGAACGCAGUGGGGACGGUUUAGUAACACGUGGGUAAUCUCCCAUCAGAGGGGAUAACAAUUGGAAACAGGUGCUAAACCGAUACUGACGUAUGUACUCGUGGUGCAUGAGCUAGUUGGUGGGGUAACGGCUCACCAAGGCCACGAUGCAUAGCCGACCUGAGAGGAGUAACAGCCACACUGGAACUGAGACACGGCCCAGACUCCUACGGGAGGCAGCAGUGGGGAAUAUUCGGCAAUGGGCGAAAGUCUGACCGAGCAACGCCGCGUGGAUGAAGAAGGUUUUCGGUUCGUAAAGCUCUGUUGUUGGGGAGGCGGUAACUGACCAAAAAGCAACGGCUAACUACGUGCCAGCCGCCGCGGUAAUAC
rnacentral:rRNA from 1 species